AGAUAGUGAGAAGGACAGAGAGUUGAAAGAAAAACUGCAACUAAUGAAUGUAUGCACUAAUGACUAAUCUUUAUAGUAAGUAUGUAAUCAUUGUAUUGAUGAAGAUUGCCCAGCAUUGAGCAAGCACAUUGUCUCAUACUAAUAUCACAUGCAAAUGUAACCAACGAAAUAUAUGAAAGUAAAUUGUUUGGGGAGAUUCAUAAAUUGUUUGGACUGAUUCUUUAGCGAAUACAGCUGCCAGUUCCAACCAGUCAAGAGCUUCUAAAAAUCAUCUACAGACACCUUAAGCAGAAUAUUUAGAGUUACCGGAUAAAAUACCAUCACAAGGUGCAACCAGUAAUAUUGGACCUGCUGCCAGAAACCAGUAAUUGCUUAUGCUAAUUGGUUUUGCCUGCUUAAGUAGAAACUUUAUACACAAAGGACUCCACUAGAACUAGAGGUAUCAAACCAUAUAGAAGGUACAACACAUACAAUUUCCUUUUUAACAAUUAUUCGAAAGAGAGAAGAGGUAGGAAGGGUCAGUCUGAAUUAAAAGCUUAAUGAACAUAUGGCCCAAAAUAGACAUCCAGACUUCAUACAAAUAGUUAUCCAACCAUUGAACAACCUGCCUAGUAUAUUGCUCCCGUGAAGUCCACAUUAGCAUCGAAGGUGCAAUUGCUUCCAUUUCCAUUUAAUAGUCUAUUCGGCCUUCUUAAUACAAGCCUCCAGAUCAAACAAAAUUACCAGCUAAUAACUCCCCAAAAUAAGAGAAUUGAUGCAAACAGAGAAAUUUCAAUUUCAGGCAGAAAGAGAUUACACAAAAUACAACUGUUUGUACCAGUGUGCACGCAAGUCCUACAUUAAUCAAUACUCAUUCUAGGAAGUUAAUGUAUAAUGAACGCAUAAAUUCAACUCUAAAAGAUGUUUGAUCUUUGAUACUUGAAAUCAAUAGAAAAGAAAACACAUCCUACAUAUGUUAGCACCAUCAACUUGAUAGCUCUAUCCAGAGUAGCUCGGCCAUCAUUGGGAAGAGUCUAGUCCUCUUACUGAAGGCCAUAAAUUGGGUCACAACGAAGCUGGAGAUAUCAACAGAAUCCCCCUCAUUAGUUGCAAACAUUUGCAAGACCUGGCUACACAAGAUAAUCAUUCUUUGAAAUAACAAACAAGGUUUACUCACUUAGCCCCUCAAAAAAUUUUAUGAUCAAGAAUGACAGUGAGAUACACAUAUAGCACCAAGAUAGCCAUAAGUCUCAAGAAUCUUAAACCUGCUAUGAUCAACAAUGAACUAAUUAAGGACAAUUCACUUCAAAUGCAAUUACAUUUACAUCAAAUGCAAACCAGUCCUCUCACCAAUAGCACAAAUUACCGAUCUUGAUAAAAGAUCCAAUCUGAACUAGAAGGCAACCAAAAACAAACUUAGAAAUUAGUCCAUUCCUCAAACAAGAAAAAGAAAAAACAAAAUACAAUACAACACCAUAAGAACAACAAUGGCAACCACUUUAUAGAUUCUAUUUCAGACUAAGAUAAAGCAGGUGAUAGUAAACUUAUGCAUAAACUAAUUCAACUCAAAAUGCAUCUACUGUCUAACUUAACUUCUACAAACCAUAUUAUUCUUAGUUAAAUAAGCAUACCCAAAUCACACUCGUAAAAAUCAAAUUACAGAUAAUCCACUGAUACCAUUCAACAAAUCCACCAAACAAAAUCAAGAAAGCAUAUCCGUAAAAGAAAAGCAAAAGCAGACUUAAGAAAGAUUACCAGAGAAUAGAAGAAUAUUAUCAACAAAAGAUAGGGGUAGAAUCUGCAAUACCCAGAAAGCAAUUUCAAGAUUCAGAUCAAAAUGGAUACCCACUGAUUGUAUUCUGUCUGUCGGUAAGCUAAGACAAGUAAAUUAGGUGAGAGAGAGAAAAGAGAAUUUCAAGAAAGCUUUAAAAAAAGGGGAAGGUGCAAUUGCUUCCAUUUCCAUUUAAUAGUCUAUUCGGCCUUCUUAAUACAAGCCUCCAGAUCAAACAAAAUUACCAGCUAAUAACUCCCCAAAAUAAGAGAAUUGAUGCAAACAGAGAAAUUUCAAUUUCAGGCAGAAAGAGAUUACACAAAAUACAACUGUUUGUACCAGUGUGCACGCAAGUCCUACAUUAAUCAAUACUCAUUCUAGGAAGUUAAUGUAUAAUGAACGCAUAAAUUCAACUCUAAAAGAUGUUUGAUCUUUGAUACUUGAAAUCAAUAGAAAAGAAAACACAUCCUACAUAUGUUAGCACCAUCAACUUGAUAGCUCUAUCCAGAGUAGCUCGGCCAUCAUUGGGAAGAGUCUAGUCCUCUUACUGAAGGCCAUAAAUUGGGUCACAACGAAGCUGGAGAUAUCAACAGAAUCCCCCUCAUUAGUUGCAAACAUUUGCAAGACCUGGCUACACAAGAUAAUCAUUCUUUCGAAAUAACAAACAAGGUUUACUCACUUAGCCCCUCAAAAAAUUUUAUGAUCAAGAAUGACAGUGAGAUACACAUAUAGCACCAAGAUAGCCAUAAGUCUCAAGAAUCUUAAACCUGCUAUGAUCAACAAUGAACUAAUUAAGGACAAUUCACUUCAAAUGCAAUUACAUUUACAUCAAAUGCAAACCAGUCCUCUCACCAAUAGCACAAAUUACCGAUCUUGAUAAAAGAUCCAAUCUGAACUAGAAGGCAACCAAAAACAAACUUAGAAAUUAGUCCAUUCCUCAAACAAGAAAAAGAAAAAACAAAAUACAAUACAACACCAUAAGAACAACAAUGGCAACCACUUUAUAGAUUCUAUUUCAGACUAAGAUAAAGCAGGUGAUAGUAAACUUAUGCAUAAACUAAUUCAACUCAAAAUGCAUCUACUGUCUAACUUAACUUCUACAAACCAUAUUAUUCUUAGUUAAAUAAGCAUACCCAAAUCACACUCGUAAAAAUCAAAUUACAGAUAAUCCACGGAUACCAUUCAACAAAUCCACCAAACAAAAUCAAGAAAGCAUAUCCGUAAAAGAAAAGCAAAAGCAGACUUAAGAAAGAUUACCAGAGAAUAGAAGAAUAUUAUCAACAAAAGAUAGGGGUAGAAUCUGCAAUACCCAGAAAGCAAUUUCAAGAUUCAGAUCAAAAUGGAUACCCACUGAUUGUAUUCUGUCUGUCGGUAAGCUAAGACAAGUAAAUUAG
rnacentral:lncRNA from 1 species